rnacentral:rRNA from 1 species
AUCAUUACCUAGAGUUGUAGGCUUUGCCUGCUAUCUCUUACCCAUGUCUUUUGAGUACCUUCGUUUCCUCGGCGGGUCCGCCCGCCGAUUGGACAAUUUAAACCAUUUGCAGUUGCAAUCAGCGUCUGAAAAAACUUAAUAGUUACAACUUUCAACAACGGAUCUCUUGGUUCUGGCAUCGAUGAAGAACGCAGCGAAAUGCGAUAAGUAGUGUGAAUUGCAGAAUUCAGUGAAUCAUCGAAUCUUUGAACGCACAUUGCGCCCCUUGGUAUUCCAUGGGGCAUGCCUGUUCGAGCGUCAUUUGUACCUUCAAGCUCUGCUUGGUGUUGGGUGUUUGUCUCGCCUCUGCGCGCAGACUCGCCUCAAAACAAUUGGCAGCCGGCGUAUUGAUUUCGGAGCGCAGUACAUCUCGCGCUUUGCACUCAUAACGACGACGUCCAAAAGUACAUUUUUACACUCUUGACCUCGGAUCAGGUAGGGAUACCCGCUGAA